UCGGCGUAUGCGGGGAGCUUGCUAAAGCAGGCUGAGAGGGGGCUGAUUUGCUCCGACCCGAUGAACCUGUUUGGGUAAUGCCAGCGAAGGGAGAGAAAUCAUGGCAAUG
rnacentral:ncRNA from 2 species